CCCUAAAUUUUCACCCCUAAUGUUGGUAUCCUCAAAACACCCAAGGGUUUCUCUCUGCCACCACCGUCUUCAUCAUCAUCUUCCCCUCUCUCCCUCUUUUUGCAUACAUCUCAGAAGAGCUCAUACUUUAUCUGUUUCUUAUGUGACUCUGAAGCCUCUUUCUUUCCUUCAACAUACCCAAGGUAAAGUUUUCUCAACUUCUUCUCAAUCAUUUAUUUCCUUCUUUUUCUGUUUUAAUUCAUGUGACUUUGCUUUUCUCAACUUAUUCUCAAUCAUUUAUUUCCAUUUCCUUCAACAUUCAACUUCUUUAUCUGUUUUAAUUUUUCACUUUCUCUUCUGCAUUUCAGUUACGUUUUCUGUUCGUUUACUCAGAAAAUGAUACCACUUUUUUCUCUCUGUUAUCAUUUACUUCGAAGGAUGUUUUAUCAUUCUAUUAUCAUGUUCCCUCCUGGCCCAAAAGUAACAGGGUUUAUGAAAUAUUUUCAAAUUGUCUUCACCCCUGGGCAAGAUAAAUACUUCACAUGCGAUCAGAUGGGCCAUAUAGCGGCAAAUUGUGAAGGAAAGGCAAAGAGGAAGGAAGGAGAAUUUGAUGAGAAAGCUGAUGGAAAAACUGUGGCCAGAAAGCCAUAUCAGUUCUUGAACAUAUGGACCCUUAGGGAGUAUCUGGAAUGUGAGAUGAGAAUCCCCAAUCCUCCUUUUGAAAUUGACUUGGAACGCGUUUAAUUCUCUGUUUUAAUUCUCUAUUUUUUCCUUCAUUUUUUAAUGUUAAAUUUAUCCUUUCAGCCCCAUCGAUUUUGGAUCUCAUAAUUUAUUUUUGGUUCUUAGGUUCAGUGAGCUAUAUUGGGUGCUUUUCGGGAGAUUUUCUUUCAUUUUCCUUUCUCUUAUUUCAGUGGAUUUAUUUUUGGUUCUCCUACUGCGUAUGUUGAUUCACGAAUUCUAAAAGCUGUUGCUAUCGAGAACUCUAAGGAUGUGGACGCAGCUGCGGAGAUUGUUCUGUCUGAGACUCUGCCUUACCUAUCUAAAUGAACCGUGGCUGGUAGUUCUUCCUCAUGGAAUCGGAGCCCUCCUGUGCAAGAAAAUGAAGGUAGCUGUCCGUUGCAAAGUCGCUUUUGCGGACUCGGCUUCGGCUCAAACUUGAUCCAGCUAAUAAGCUAUAUUUUCCAUUUUGAUGAGCAGAAGGAUCAAGUUGCAAUAGAACAAAUACUACGGGUUGUUUUCCUAGAUCCUAAGCGUCCUUGUCUUGUAAGUCCCAUUAGCUUGUUACUCCCGUUUCCACAACUAUAUGUGCCUUCAUUCACGUUUGCUUCUGCUUUUAGACAUUUGCUUUGUUUGCUUUGUUUCUUGCUUGGGACCAGCUGCUAAUAAGAAGCCUGUCACUGAUCAGCAGUAUCAGAAAGGUAGACUCUUGUGGUUUAUUUCAAGUUAUACUUUAUCUUGAUUGCCUUACGAAGUUUGUUUGGUUGUGUAUAGUUUUUAUUUGCAAUGAUUUAUGCGUGAGUGCUUUGACCUGACAAGUUGACUGCUAGUUGGUUAUUGUGUUUUUGUUUAUUGGUUUUAAUUUUCUGAGGUGGAUCUGUUACAGUCUUCUUAAAAUUCAAGUUCUUUCAGUUAUUCACUUGAAGAUAUGGCGGAAUUUAUACAAAGUCGUUUCCUUCCAGAUUAACGUUUUGUCUCAGAUUAACGUUUGAAAAACAGAAAUAUGGAUCUGCUGCUGUUUGAUUUCAGAGAAAAUAAGGAAACUACAAAAAGGUAUGUUUUAUAUUAUUGCUCCUUUUGAUUAUUUAUAUUAUAAGAACUACAUUUGUUCAUUCAUAUGGAGGUUUUGCAGGCGCUGCUAUGGCUAUUAUUUCAUUCUUCACGGCUUGAAACUGAAAUUGCAAACUUUGAAUAAUAUGAUCUUAAUUAUGGUUAACAAGAUAAAGUUUUAGCUAUCAAUUUUGGUAAGGAUUAAUAUGCAAUUUAUACCUCAACUUGUCUCAACUUAUAUUUUGUUUCCCACCUAAACACACUAACGUCAUUAAUUUACACUUACAUGAAAUGUAAUAGCUUCUCAAAUUUUUAUUCUUUUAAAUUUUGUUGUUUCAAAAUUGCAGGAACUUAGAGAAGCUUCAGCUAAUAUUGAACCAAAGCAUCAAAACGACGUUGCAGAUUUAAUAAAUAGUUACAUAAGUUUAUACCCAAAAUGGGUUUUUGAUCUCAGGCACUUAGAUUAAGGUCGAAUGAGCUAAAAUUGGAGAGGCAAUUGGAGAACACAGAGGCUGAAAUUUCUUCUUUCAGGUAUGCUGUAAUUUUUCUUUUUUUUUGUUCUUGUGGUUAUUGCUGCCCCUGUUUCUGGGAGGUGAUUGUGUAAACAUUUUAGUGUGCUUUAGUUAUUGUAAGAAUAUUUUUAACAUUGUUAAUUUUAAUAUUAUUGUAAGAAUAUUUUGAAUUAUAAUUCAGUUAUCAAUUUAUAUCA